rnacentral:rRNA from 1 species
GACGAACGCUGGCGGCGUGCUUAACACAUGCAAGUCGAACGGAAAGGCCCUGCUUUUGUGGGGUGCUCGAGUGGCGAACGGGUGAGUAACACGUGAGUAACCUGCCCUUGACUUUGGGAUAACUUCAGGAAACUGGGGCUACUACCGGAUAGGAGCUCCUGCUGCAUGGUGGGGGUUGGAAAGUUUCGGCGGUUGGGGAUGGACUCGCGGCUUAUCAGCUUGUUGGUGGGGUAGUGGCUUACCAAGGCUUUGACGGGUAGCCGGCCUGGGAGGGUGACCGGCCACAUUGGGACUGAGAUACGGCCCAGACUCCUACGGGAGGCAGCAGGGGGGAAUAUUGCACAAUGGGCGGAAGCCGGAUGAAGCAACGCCGCGUGCGGGAUGACGGCCUUCGGGUUGUAAACCGCUUUCGCCUGUGACGAAGCGUGAGUGACGGUAAUGGGUAAAGAAGCACCGGCUAACUACGUG